AGAGUUUGAUCAUGGCUCAGAUUGAACGCUGGCGGCAGGCCUAACACAUGCAAGUCGAGCGAGAAAGCACUUCGGUGUGAGUAGCGGCGGACGGGGGGGAACGGGUGAGUAACGCGUAGGAAUCUACCUAGUAGUGGGGGAUAGCCCAGAGAAAUUUGGAUUAAUACCGCAUAAUCCCUACGGGGCAAAGCAGGGGACCUUCGGGCCUUGCGCUAAUAGAUGAGCCUAUGUCGGAUUAGCUAGUUGGUGAGGUAAAGGCCUACCAAGGCGACGAUCCGUAGCUGGUCUGAGAGGAUGAUCAGCCACACUGGGACUGAGACACGGCCCAGACUCCUACGGGAGGCAGCAGUGGGGAAUAUUGGACAAUGGGGGCAACCCUGAUCCAGCCAUGCCGCGUGUGUGAAGAAGGCCUUAGGGUUGUAAAGCACUUUCAGUAGGGGGGAAAAGUUAGUCGUUAAUAACGGCUAACCCUGACGUUACCUACAGAAGAAGCACCGGCAAACUCCGUGCCAGCAGCCGCGGUAAUACGGAGGGUGCGAGCGUUAAUCGGAAUUACUGGGCGUAAAGCGCGCGUAGGCGGCCUGAUAAGUUGGAUGUGAAAGCCCCGGGCUCAACCUGGGAAUUGCAUCCAAAACUGCUGGACUAGAGUAUGGUAGAGGGAAGUGGAAUUUCAGGUGUAGCGGUGAAAAUGCGUAGAUAUCCGGAGGAACACCAGUGGCGAAGGCGGCUUCCUGGACCAACACUGACGCUGAGGUGCGAAAGCGUGGGGAGCGAACAGGAUUAGAUACCCUGGUAGUCCACGCCGUAAACGAUGAGAACUAGAUGUUGGGGGGCAUGUCCCUUUAGUGUCGAAGCUAACGCGUUAAGUUCUCCGCCUGGGGAGUACGGCCGCAAGGUUAAAACUCAAAUGAAUUGACGUGGGCCCGCACAAGCGGUGGAGCAUGUGGUUUAAUUCGAUGCAACGCGAAGAACCUUACCUGCCCUUGACAUCCUCGGAACUUGUCAGAGAUGAUUUGGUGCCUUCGGGAACCGAGUGACAGGUGCUGCAUGGCUGUCGUCAGCUCGUGUCGUGAGAUGUUGGGUUAAGUCCCGUAACGAGCGCAACCCUUGUCCUUAGUUGCCAUCAGGUAAUGGUGGGAACUCUAAGGAGACUGCCGGUGAUAAACCGGAGGAAGGUGGGGACGACGUCAAGUCAGCAUGGCCUUUAUGUCCAGGGCUACACACACGCUACAAUGGCCGGUACAAUAGGCAGCGAAGCCGCGAGGCGGAGCCAAUCCUCCAAAGGCGGUCUCAGUUCGGAUUGUAGGCUGCAACUCGCCUGCAUGAAGCCGGAGUUGCUAGUAACCGCAGGUCAGCCACACUGUGGUGAAUACGUUCCCGGGCCUUGUACACACCGCCCGUCACGUCAUGGGAGUUGGCAACGCCUGAAGUCGGUGGGCUAACGGCACUUAGUGUCGGGGCAGCCGCCUAAGGCGGGGUCGGUAACUGGGACGAAGUCGUAACAAGGUAGCCGU
rnacentral:rRNA from 1 species